GAGCCCGCCUCCCCACCCCUGCUUAGCCCCGCCCAGCAGCCUCAAAAGAAGCUAGGCUAAACGAGUAGGGUAUAAUUUAUACUAAGCUAAUUCGAAUUUAAAAGACAGGUUAUUCCAUCCUUUGGUUCAAUCGGCCUCUUAAUCGUACACACAAAUCAGGGAAAGCGUCCAGGGUUAGACUUAGAUGCUUUUAGGUAAACCGACGCCCUCCAUCUUGCAGGCAGUCCUGGUCUCUCUGGCUAUAUAACUCUAGAGAUUUUUCUUUGCGGGGGGUGGUAAGGAUGGGAUACGCUACUCAGAAAAUGACCUGGAUCAAAGUCAGUGUUGGGUCUGUUUCCGGGCCACUGGCCUUUCUCUUGCUUCUUCCCCCAACCCCAUUUCUGUCUGAACUGGUUGGGGUCGCUUCAGACAAGAACUAAGAUCUCCACGUGGAAGCUGGGAAGGCUUGUCUUCCAGAGAUCAAGGCCAACUUUGACCAAAAAAAGCUUUGAUCCAACCAACCGAGGCCAGCACAUGGGUGAGGUCCUUUCUAAUGGCCAUAUUUGGGAAGCAGAUCUGAUCGGACAGAAUUCCUGAGCUUGUCACGAGGGCCAAAAGGGCUGGAUCUGUUUCAUAUAACCUAGAUGCAUUCAAGCCUCCCAGAUUUCUCAAAGAGUACCUAGAAAUGGCGAACUGGGCGGUUGGGGAGUGUACAAAGAAAGGGCUAAGCUUGCCCCAACACGUGUUGUGGCUGAGGAAGGGUAGGGCAUUCACUACGCGUAUCCUAAACAGUGAUCCUAGGUGGGACGAAAUGACGGUUCCUUCUCCACCCUAGACAGUAGGGCGGAGGCCUGAAAGAAGGCAAACAAAGCUUCACAAAGCUUGGGAACUGGCCAGGAAGAGAGACAAUCACCAACGGGGGGUUGGGAGGGAAAUAAAAGGUAGAGAUCCUGGAGGGAGGUGAAGGGGGGGAGAGAAGGGGGGAAUAUUAGUAGAAGAGGAAGUGGUUUAUAUUAUUAUCUCCCAAAGAGUUUCUAAUCUACAUCCUUUCAGGUGGAAAACACAUACUACCCCCUCAGCACCCAAGCACAGCAGUGAAAAAGUCUGCAGAAACCAGGAAUAGGCAUCUCUAAGACAAAGGAUACACACAGCUCCACUUUCAGUGUGCUCCAAAGUGAACCUCUUCUUUGAACUCGGUUGUUUCCAUAGUUAAUGGCUCCUGCAUGUGCUGCUGCUACAACCACCCACCUGAAUG